UCGGCUUAGAGUUUGAUCAUGGCUCAGGACGAACGCUGGCGGCAUGCCUAAUACAUGCAAGUCGAACGAGUGCUUGCACAGUGGCGAACUGGUGAGUAACACGUGGGAAAUCUGCCCAGAAGCAGGGGAUAACACUUGGAAACAGGUGCUAAUACCGUAUAACAACAAAUCCGCAUGGAUUUUGUUGAAAGGUGUUCGUAUCACUUCUGGAUGAUCCCGCGGCGUAUUAGUUAGUUGGUGAGGUAAAGGCCCACCAAGACGAUGAUACGUAGCCGACCUGAGAGGGUAAUCGGCCACAUUGGGACUGAGACACGGCCCAAACUCCUACGGGAGGCAGCAGUAGGGAAUCUUCCACAAUGGACGAAAGUCUGAUGGAGCAAUGCCGCGUGAGUGAAGAAGGGUUUCGGCUCGUAAAACUCUGUUGUUAAAGAAGAACACCUUUGAGGUAAUUCAAGGGUUGACGGUAUUUAACCAGAAAGCCACGGCUAACUACGUGCCAGCAGCCGCGGUAAUACGUAGGUGGCAAGCGUUGUCCGGAUUUAUUGGGCGUAAAGCGAGCGCAGGCGGUUUUUUAAGUCUGAUGUGAAAGCCUUCGGCUUAACCGGAGAAGUGCAUCGGAACUGGAGACUUGAGUGCAGAAGAGGACAGUGGAACUCCAUGUGUAGCGGUG
rnacentral:rRNA from 1 species